rnacentral:rRNA from 1 species
GACGAACGCUGGCGGCGUGCUUAACACAUGCAAGUCGAACGGAAAGGCCCUGCUUUUGUGGGGUGCUCGAGUGGCGAACGGGUGAGUAACACGUGAGUAACCUGCCCUUGACUUUGGGAUAACUUCAGGAAACUGGGGCUAAUACCGGAUAGGAGCUCCUGCUGCAUGGUGGGGGUUGGAAAGUUUCGGCGGUUGGGGAUGGACUCGCGGCUUAUCAGCUUGUUAGUGGGGUAGUGGCUUACCAAGGCUUUGACGGGUAGCCGGCCUGAGCGGGUGACCGGCCACCUGGGGACUGAGAGACGGCCCAGACUCCUACGGGAGGCAGCAGUGGGGAAUAUUGCACAAUGGGGGGAAGCCUGAUGCAGCAACGCCGCGUGCGGAAUGACGGCCUUCGAGUUGUAAACCACUUUCGCCUGUGACGAAGCGUGAGUGACGGUAAUGGGUAAAGAAGCACCGGCUAACUACGUG